rnacentral:rRNA from 1 species
AUUGAACGCUGGCGGCAUGCCUUACACAUGCAAGUCGAACGGCAGCGGACCUUCGGGUGCCGGCGAGUGGCGAACGGGUGAGUAAUGCAUCGGAACGUACCUUUCAGUGGGGGAUAACGUAGCGAAAGCUACGAUAAUACCGCAUAUUCUGUGAGCAGGAAAGCAGGGGAUCGAAAGACCUUGCGCUGAUUGAGCGGCCGAUGUGAGAUUAGAUAGUUGGUGAGGUAAAGGCUCACCAAGGCGACGAUCUGUAGCGGGUCUGAGAGGAUGAUCCGCCACACUGGGACUGAGACACGGCCCAGACUCCUACGGGAGGCAGCAGUGGGGAAUUUUGGACAAUGGGGGCAACCCUGAUCCAGCCAUGCCGCGUGAGUGAAGAAGGCCUUCGGGUUGUAAAGCUCUUUCGGCCGGGAAGAAAUCGCACAGGCUAAUACCUUGUGUGGAUGACGGUACCGGAAUAAGAAGCACCGGCUAACUACGUGCCAGCCGCCGCCGUAAUAC